AGGAACACUUUUAUGAUGCUGCAAGCAACACAGGAUACAUUGCCUGGCAUAAUAAAAACAGUCCACAGGAAUAUGGAGCGACGCCACCAGACAGCCCUCUUCCUCAACAGUCUACGGCCAGGAAAUGGCAUCCCUUCUUUUAAUCCCUUCCACCACUUCCAGGAGGACUGAAGUCUCCAAAAAUUGCAUGCGAUGCAGCUGAAAGCCAUGUAAUCUAUCAUAAGUUUGGAGAAGCACCUCAGCAACAACCAUCC